GCCUGCUGGAGGUGGAGCCUGCUGGUGGAGGAGCCUGCUGGUGGAGGAGCCUGCUGGUGGAGGAGCCUGCUGGAGGUGGAGCCUGCUGGUGGAGGAGCCUGCUGGUGGAGGAGCCUGCUGGUGGUCCAGAACCACAGCUUAGGACCCAUAAAGAGGAUGGAAACAGCAGAACACUGAUCCGGUUUCUUCAAUAAGAUGGUCCCUCUCAGACAUAAACUCAGCAGGGCUGGAAUCACAGGAAGAAGAUGGUACUUGGGUUCUGCUGGAUCUGGUUCUGGGAUCGGAAAUGAUUUAAUAAACUAAACACAGCCGCUAAACAUUUAAACAGAACCUCCGGGUCUGAAGUGAUCAUCUAACUGUCCCUCCUGGUCUUCAUGGUCCAGCUGAGUCUGAUGAGAACAACGCAGAAAACCAGAACCCAGAAGGUUCUGCGUGGUUCUCCAGGCUGGAUGAACCCCACAGAACCCAGAAGGUUCUGCGUGGUUCUCCAGGCUGCAUGAACCCCACAGAGCCCAGAAGGUUCUGUGGGGUUCUUGCAGCCUGGAGAAGAUGGAUGUGUUACAGGUGUGUGAAAGUCAUAAAGAAUCAAACCCAGAAAUCUGAUAAAAAGUCAUUUUAUUCUCUUAAAAAUAUGGCUUCAUAUUCCUCCAUCUGAGGAAUAUAAAUGCAGCUUUGACUCUUAUCAUCAAACGAUGUCGGCUGGUAAACAUUUAAAAUAACAGUUAAACUAUUAAAACAUUAUGAGGCGGUUAGUAAAGCUUUCUGUUCGACUAGCAGCUGCAGUAAUACUUCAAGUUUCCCAUGAUGCACGUUAAAAUAACAAUUGAACUUUAACCUUAUCAGCUUCCAAUAGAAAGUGUGCCGUAGUCUCCAUUCAGCAGUAAGGUCACAGAGAGACGGAGCUCAGCAGACUUUAACUUUUCCAUUCAGAUCGAGGUUUAAAGGCUCAUCAGACCUCAGAGUUUAAUGCCGUCUGAAUGAGAGGGAGACGUUUCCUGCUUUCUGGCUCGCAAACAUUUUCUGCUAUAAUUUCAAUAAAUGUGCAAAAUAAAAUAAUGUUUACCAUAGAGUUUGGUCCUCGAGUCGUUUUCGGUUCACGCUUUAGGAGUUUAUAUUACAGUCGUGUACUUUGGUUCAAGGGUCCAUCAUCGAUCCAUCGUCACAUUUUAAAAGGUUGUGUCUCAUGUUUUCCAGCCACAGGAACAUCUGUUGAUGUUCGCUGUUUUUAGAUUAAUCAGUGAUUGUACACUUUUCCCACAAUAAAAUUCAAGCACUUUUCAAGCAUUUUCAAGGUACAUUUUCCCACUUUUCCAGCACCAAACUACAGAGUGGUCUGUACCUCUGUGCACCUUUUCUUCAUAGAGCUUUAUAACGGCGGCACACAGCGCUUCCUGUGUGAAGGAGUCUAUCAACAAUCUAAAAUACUGUGCAACUACUUCAAAUUCUCCAAGUUAUAAUAUUAAUAUGAAAUGAACCCAGAGGAAGAGCA